CUUGCUAAUAUAAGAGGUCCAGCCUGCCCAGUGACUCAGUUCAACGGCCGCGGUAUCCUAACCGUGCAAAGGUAGCGUAAUCACUUGUCUUCUAAAUAAAGACUAGUAUGAAAGGCACCACGAGAACCAAACUGUCUCCCUUUUCUAAUCAGUGAACCUAAUCUCCCCGUGAAGAAGCGGGGAUUUACUAAUAAGACGAGAAGACCCUAUGGAGCUUUAAACACAUAACACCUGCCCAUAAAUUAAUACCACGCAGACUGAUUAUAAGUUUUCAGUUGGGGCGACUACGGAGAAAACCCCACCCUCCGUGAUGACUACAACAAGCUACAGCUUUACGUAUCAAUAAACUGACACCAUUGACCCAAUAUAUUGAUCAACGAAC
rnacentral:rRNA from 1 species